rnacentral:rRNA from 1 species
UACGUAGGGUGCGAGCGUUGUCCGGAAUUAUUGGGCGUAAAGAGCUCGUAGGCGGUUUGUUGCGUCUAUCGUGAAAACCUGCAGCUUAACUGUGGGCUUGCGGUGGAUACGGGCAGACUUGAGUUCGGUAGGGGAGACUGGAAUUCCUGGUGUAGCGGUGAAAUGCGCAGAUAUCAGGAGGAACACCGGUGGCGAAGGCGGGUCUCUGGGCCGAUACUGACGCUGAGGAGCGAAAAGCGUGGGGAGCGAACAG